UGAAACUACUAUGUACACAUAAAAAACAAAAAAUAGUUAAAAUAUCUUCACAGUAUAUAAUGGUGGCAAGUUUUACAUCAUCUGAAAAGUCAUUAGUUGAACUAUUAAUCCUCUUGCAUUCUGGGAGGUGGGGUAUUGGA